UGCACGUAAGGAGGUGUGUAGGUGAGCAGCUGUGGUGUAGGUGAGCAGGUGUGCAGGUGAGCAAGUGUACGGGUGAGCAGGUGUGUGGGUGAGCAGCUAUGGUGUAGGUGAGCAGUUGUACUGUAGGUGAGCAGGUGUGCAGGUGAGGAGGUGUAUAGGUGAACAACUGUGGUGUAGGUGAGCAGGUGUGGUGCAGGUGAGCAGGUGAGCAGGUGUGUAGGUGAGCAGCUGUGGUACAGAUAAGCAGGUGUGUAGGUGAGCAGCUGUGGUGCAGGUGAGGUGUGAUGCAGGUGAGCAGGUAUACGGGUGAGCAGGUGAGGAGGUAUGGUGUAGGUGAGCAGGUGUGCAUGUG